GACGAACGCUGGCGGCGUGCUUAACACAUGCAAGUCGAACGAAGAGCGAUGGAAGCUUGCUUCUAUCAAUCUUAGUGGCGAACGGGUGAGUAACGCGUAAUCAACCUGCCCUUCAGAGGGGGACAACAGUUGGAAACGACUGCUAAUACCGCAUACGAUCUAAUCUCGGCAUCGAGGAUAGAUGAAAGGUGGCCUCUACAUGUAAGCUAUCACUGAAGUAGGGUAUUGCGUCUGAUUAGCUAGUUGGAGGGGUAACGGCCCACCAAGGCGAUGAUCAGUAGCCGGUCUGAGAGGAUGAACGGUCACAUUGGGACUGAGACACGGCCCAGACUCCUACGGGAGGCAGCAGUGGGGAAUCUUCCGCAAUGGACGAAAGUCUGACGGAGCAACGCCGCGUGAGUGAUGACGGCCUUCGGGUUGUAAAGCUCUGUUAAUCGGGACGAAAGGCCUUCUUGCGAAUAGUGAGAAGGAUUGACGGUACCGGAAGAGAAAGCCACGGCUAACUACGUG
rnacentral:rRNA from 1 species